rnacentral:rRNA from 1 species
AACGAACGCUGGCGGCAGGCCUAACACAUGCAAGUCGAGCGCACCCUUCGGGGUGAGCGGCGGACGGGUGAGUAACGCGUGGGAACGUGCCCUUCUCUGCGGAAUAGCCUCGGGAAACUGAGAGUAAUACCGCAUACGCCCUUUGGGGGAAAGAUUUGUCGGAGGAGGAUCGGCGCGCGUUGGAUUAGGUAGUUGGUGGGGUAGUGGCGUACCAAGGCGUUGAUCGAUAGGUGGCUUGAGAGGGUGGUAGGACAAACUGGGAUUGAGAUACGGCCCAGACUGGUACGGGAGGCAGCAGUGGGGAAUAUGGAAGAAUGGGAGGAAGCCGGAUGCAGCAACGCUGCGUGCGGGAUGACGGCCUUCGGGUUGUAAACCGCUUUCGCCUGUGACGAAGCGUGAGUGACGGGAAUGGGUAAAGAAGCACCGGCUAACUAAGUG